GACGAACGCUGGCGGCGUGCUUAACACAUGCAAGUCGAACGGAGUGGCGAACGGGUGAGUAACACGUGGGUGACCUGCCCUGCACUUCGGGAUAAGCCUGGGAAACUGGGUCUAAUACCGGAUAGCGUGGGAUGGGCCCGCGGCCUAUCAGCUUGGUGGUGGGGUAAUGGCCUACCAAGGCGGCGACGGGUAGCCGGCCUGGGAGGGUGGACGGCCACAUUGGGACUGAGACACGGCCCAGACUCCUACGGGAGGCAGCAGUGGGGAAUAUGGCACAAUGGGCGGAAGCCUGAUGCAGCGAGGCCGCGUGGGGGAUGACGGCCUUCGGGUUGUAAACUCCUUUCACCAUCGACGCGAACAGUUAGAAGGAUUGACGGUACCGGAAUAGAAAGCCACGGCUAACUACGUGCCAGCAGCCGCGGUAAUUC
rnacentral:rRNA from 1 species